rnacentral:rRNA from 1 species
CUUGCUUCUCUGAUGGUUAGCGGCGGACGGGUGAGUAACACGUAGGCAACCUGCCCUCAAGCUUGGGACAACUACCGGAAACGGUAGCUAAUACCGAAUACUUGUUUUCUUCGCCUGAAGAGAACUGGAAAGACGGAGCAAUCUGUCACUUGGGGAUGGGCCUGCGGCGCAUUAGCUAGUUGGUGAGGUAACGGCUCACCAAGGCGACGAUGCGUAGCCGACCUGAGAGGGUGAUCGGCCACACUGGGACUGAGACACGGCCCAGACUCCUACGGGAGGCAGCAGUAGGGAAUCUUCCGCAAUGGGCGAAAGCCUGACGGAGCAAUGCCGCGUGAGUGAUGAAGGUUUUCGGAUCGUAAAGCUCUGUUGCCAGGUAAGAACGCUUGAUAGAGUAACUGCUCUCAAGGUGACGGUACCUGAGAAGAAAGCCCCGGCUAACUACGUGCCAGCAGCCGCGGUAAUACGUAGGGGGCAAGCGUUGUCCGAAAUUAUUGGGCGUAAUGCGCGCGCAGGCGGUCAUGUAAGUCUGGUGUUUAAUCCCGGGGCUCAACCCCGGAUCGCACUGGAAACUGUGUGACUUGAGUGCAAAAGAGGAUAGUGUAAUUCCACGUGUAGCGGUGAAAAUGCCUAGAGAUGUGGAGGAACACCAGUGUCAAAUUGCUACUCCUCUGGGCUGUUACUGACGCUGAGGCGCGUAAGCGUUGGUGAGCAAACAGGAUC